UGGGGAAUUUUGGACAAUGGGCGAAAGCCUGAUCCAGCAAUGCCGCGUGUGUGAAGAAGGCCUUCGGGUUGUAAAGCACUUUUGUCCGGAAAGAAAUCCUUGGCUCUAAUACAGUCGGGGGAUGACGGUACCGGAAGAAUAAGCACCGGCUAACUACGUGCCAGCAGCCGCGGUAAUACGUAGGGUGCAAGCGUUAAUCGGAAUUACUGGGCGUAAAGCGUGCGCAGGCGGUUUGCUAAGACCGAUGUGAAAUCCCCGGGCUCAACCUGGGAACUGCAUUGGUGACUGGCAGGCUAGAGUAUGGCAGAGGGGGGUAGAAUUCCACGUGUAGCAGUGAAAUGCGUAGAGAUGUGGAGGAAUACCGAUGGCGAAGGCAGCCCCCUGGGCCAAUACUGACGCUCAUGCACGAAAGCGUGGGGAGCAAACAGGAUUAGAUACCCUGGUAGUCCACGCCCUAAACGAUGUCAACUAGUUGUUGGGGAUUCAUUUCCUUAGUAACGUAGCUAACGCGUGAAGUUGACCGCCUGAGGAGUACGGUCGCAAGAUUAAAACUUAAAUGAAUUGACGGGGUCAUAGCUGUUUCC
rnacentral:rRNA from 1 species